rnacentral:rRNA from 1 species
UACGUAGGGUGCGAGCGUUAAUCGGAAUUACUGGGCGUAAAGCGUGCGCAGGCGGUUCGCUAAGACAGAUGUGAAAUCCCCGGGCUCAACCUGGGAACUGCGUUUGUGACUGGCGGGCUGGAGUGCGGUAGAGGGAGGUGGAAUUUCACGUGUAGCAGUGAAAUGCGUAGAGAUGUGGAGGAACACCGAUGGCGAAGGCAGCCUCCUGGUCUAGCACUGACGCUCAUGUACGAAAGCGUGGGGAGCAAACAGG